UACAGAGGUCUCAAGCGUUGUUCGGAUUCAUUGGGCGUAAAGGGCGUGUAGGCGGUCUGUUAAGUCAUGUGUGAAAUCCCUCGGCUCAACCGGGGAACGACGCAUGAAACUGACAAGCUAGAGUACCAAAGAGGGGGGUGGAAUUCCCGGUGUAGCGGUGAAAUGCGUAGAUAUGGGGAGGAACACCGGUGGCGAAGGCGGCCCCCUGGUUGGAUACUGACGCUGAGACGCGAAAGCGUGGGGAGCAAACAGG
rnacentral:rRNA from 1 species